rnacentral:misc_RNA from 1 species
AAGUCGUAACAAGGUUUCCGUAGGUGAACCUGCGGAAGGAUCAUUACAAAAAACAAAAUCCAAACCACACCAAAUGUGCUCAUUGCUGCAGAGAGAGAUGUGGAUAAUGUCUCAAUUGCACAGAGAGAAGAAAACCUUGUCUUUGUGUGUGUGUUGUGUGUGUUGUGUGUUUGUAAAAAAACACGCAUGCACACACACACACACACACAAGCUUUGCUUUCUCAACUCUGCUUUUGACUCUUUUUCACCUCUCUCUCUGCUUGUCUUUGUUUUUCAAUUUUUCAUUCACUCCUUGUUUAACCAACAACGGAUUACAAUGUUAAAACUUGAAACAAAACAACAAAAAACAAAAUGACAACUUUUAACGGUGGAUCUCUUGGCUCGU